GAGAAUUACAGUCGCAUUAUAUUGUAUCCCGAAUUUAUAUACCUGUGUUAGUGUUUUAAUUCAUUGUGUGGACACAACAUAUUACCUGAUUAUUGUAAGUUAAAUUCUUUGUUAUAUAAUUAAUAUUUUCACAUGUAAAUGAUAAAUUUAGCAAUGUUUCUAUUAUAUGAUUUCGUUCUCCUCGUAAAGUUUGGUUAUUACAUAAGUAUGAUAGAUGUACCCGAGAAUAUUUUAUUUAGCUUCGUGCUUCAUAUAUUUUAUUAUCUACCGUUAAUUUGUCACGAUAGAAUAUAUAGUACAAGAUAAUUUGCAUAGCUAUUUGAUUAUUGACACAGAUAAUUUAUAUUUAAUAAAUGGUGGCAUAUUAGAUAAAAUAAGGGAAAGUGUUCAAGUUGAUAUUUAUUAGUACACUUAUAUUAUACAUUGUAAUGAUAGAAGUUUAACUAUGAAUGAACUUGAGUUAUUUUGUCAUAUUGUAUAUUUUAAUAUUUUACGAGUCCGAAUGUUUAUGAUUGCAUUUUGGUUUUAGGACUCCAUUGAUGUAGUUAUUUGAAACUUGAAACUUUGAAACUUUUUAUUUCUCAAAGACCCCAUCAGGGGUAUGUGAAUAUAAACAGUAAUAACAAACAAUAACAUAUAUACAAAAUAAUGAGAUAAUAGAAUGACAUGGUUACAUAUUCAACGGUAUACAUAAAGUACAUGAUUUAAGGAAUUUGCAGUGGAAGGCAAAUCUAAUUUAUAACAGACAGGACAAUUUUACAAAAUUUGGCAAGUUUGACAAUUAAAUUGUAGUCAUCAGAACAGAAAAGUUCACAAUACUUUAUAGCAUUUGGCUUUUUGUACACAUUACAGGGCAAAAGCCUUUUUCUUUCAUUCGAAAAAAAGUACAUUUAAAUAGCUUAUGAAAUUCAUCACCAAUUUCACAUAAAUUGCAUAAAUCGUAAAUGCGAUCAUCACGUUCAACACCCCAAAAGCGACCUUGUUCUAUUGGCAAUUUAUGGUUCAUACAUCUAAAAUUACAAUAUGCCUUUCGAAGAUCAUAUGGUAGAUCAACAAUAUAUCUUUCAAAAUUAUGAAUUGUUUUGAAAAUUCUAUAAUUUAAACAUUUAGCUGAAUCAUAAACAGUAGUAACCCAUGUUUGUUUGAACUGAUCACAAAGACAUUGUUUGACUAGAUUUGAUAUGACUACAUUUUUUGGUACACUCUGUGACAGCCAGUACUCUGAGAGACCACAAUUAUUAAGGGUUUUUUCAAUACAAACAAUCCAUUUAGAAUGUAAAAAUUUCUUGAUAUGCAUGUUACAUAAUAACUUGUACAAAGUAGCAGCAAUUUUAUCUUGCUUAUUACAAAUAAUUCUUUUCCAGAAUGCAACCAUUCUACUUUUGAUAAAAAUAUCAAUAGGAAAUCUUCCUAGUUCACCAUACAUGAUACAAUUUGGUGUACAUUUCUUCAGACUUAGUAUAUAGAAUGAAAUUCAAAACAGUGUGGCUGUGGCCAUUGAUUGACACAUUAAAUUCAUCCAUUGACUGGGACAAUUUACGUGAACGUUUGUCUGUAACGACCACUGUUCAUGACGUACUUACGAUAGACAUUUAAACUGCGGGGCCACCAAAGGUUUCUUAACGCCUUUAAUUAUAAAAUAAUUCGAAAAAUUAAUCAGGAAUAACCGUUAUGUUUUGAUUUAUAUAAUUGAUAUAAAUCAAAACAUCGUGUUAUUUCUGAUUAAUUUUUCGAAUUACUUUAUUAAGGUGUUGAGAACCUUUGGUGACCCCAUAGUUUAAGUGUCUUUAAAAAGUACAUAGUGAGCAGUGGUUGUUACAUACAACGUUCACCUAAAUUGUCCCAGUCAAUGGAUGAAUUUAAUGUGUCAAUCAAUGGCCACAGCCACACUGUUUUGAAUUUCAUUCUAUUUAUAAAAUUGCAGACAAAAUGAUUCUAGUAUACUGUUAUUAGUAAAACCCCAAAUCUCACAACCAUACAUUAAUAUAGGUAAAACCAUUACAUCAAACAUCUCAAGCUGUAUAUCAAUAGGUAAAUUUAGUUUUCUACUUUUUUUCAUUAUACUAAACAUAGCCUUUCUAGCUUGGCAAACUAAUCUUUCUUUAUUUUUACAAAAUGAACCAUUUGAAGCAAAAAUUAUUCCAAGAUAUGUAAAAUCACCAACAAUAUCUAUAAUUUGACCGUCAUAAGUGAAUGCAAGGUUAUUAUUCAGUUCAAAAGUACGUUUUCUAAAAAUUACAAUCUUAGUCUUAGCAACAUUUACUUCUAAUUUCCAACAUUUGCAAUACAAAUACAUGGCAUUCAAGGCAGCUUGCAAUUCAGAUUCGGACUCUGCUAAAAUUACAGUGUCAUCAGCAUAAAGUAAUAGAUACAAUCUAAAAUAUACAGCAAUUUCAUCAUUAUCAAGAAAAAUAUGAGCAGCAUUGUAAACAUUUGACAAACCUUCAUAAGAAUGUGACAAAAAUUCAACUAGAUCAUUUAAAAACAAAGAAAAUAGUACAGGAGACAAAUUUUCUCCUUGGCGUACGCCAACAUUGCUAAAAAGAAACUGAGGUGUUACAACCUAAUCGUACACAAUAUUUGGCAUUUUUAUACAUACUGUGAAUUACUUUAAACAUUUUACCAUCAAUACAUUGUUGUAGCAACUUGUGCCAUAAUGCACAUCUUAUCCACCGAGUCAAAGGCUUUCCGGUAGUCACAAAAGCACCAAAAUAAAGGUUUGUUACAUCGCAAGUAAAGAUCAAUCAGACAGUUCAUAUUAAAAAUGUGAUCAGUAGUACCAUAAUGCUUUCUAAAGCCUGCUUGCUCUUCGCAGAGAACGUUAAAAUUAUCUAAAUAACAAUUAAGCCUAUUAUUCAGCACACAUGUGAAUAAUUGACCAAAACAGCUAAGAACCGUAAUGCCCCUAUACUUAUCAGGAUUUGCAGGGUCUCCUUUACAUUUAUAUAUUGGUACAAUAAUACCAUCAGACCAAGAGUCUGGUAGACAACCAGAUUCAAAAACAAUAUUAAACAAAGCAAUAAAAACUGGUAACAUUUUAACAGCAGAAUGCUUCAAAAAUUCAUUAAUAAUCAAGUCAUUUCCACAGGCUUUAUUAUUUUUCAACCCUUUAAUAGCCUGUCUCACCUUAUUUUCUGAAAUAGCUCUAUUCACUUCAGUAUUUAAACUAGUAAUAUUAUCAACAUCAAUAUUUUCAAAUGUAUCAUCAUUUUCAUCUUGACCAGAGUUCAAUUUCUUAAAAUGUUUAUAAAAACAAUCAAGAGACACUUUAUUGAUAAUAUUUUGUUUGGUCUGAGAGCUACAUGCUCUGUUCACUAAGUUCCAGUAUGAUUUACAAUCAUUUUGUCUAAGAUUUUUUAACUUCUUAAUGAAAUUCUUAUUAUACAAUCUAUAUCGAUUACAUAAAACUUUUUUGUACUCUUUACAACACAUUGUUAAAUUUAUCUUGCUUUCAGCAGUUUUAACUCUCCAGUUAUAAUUGUUUGCUCUAUGAUACAAUUUGCGUUUUUCAGCACAUUCUCUAUUGAACCAUGGUUUCCUGACAUUUCUUUUUUUUAAAGAAUUAUCAACCUUUCUAAUGACCUUUUUACAAAGUAUAUUAGUGAACUGUGCCUUGUCCUUGCCAGUAAAAACUCACUUCACAAGUGGUAAGAGUAUAUCUAUUUUUAACUAUGUAAUGUUGUAAACAAAACGUUAUGGAUUAUUCCCCUUUAAAUAUGCGGUUUUAAGCAUAUUUAAUAUAUUGGUUUAAUUAGUCUUUAUAAAAAUAGUAUUUACAAUUUGAUGAUUGUUGUAAUGUAAUUGUAUCUAAAGAACAAAUAAUAUCGUAUGUUCCGAUUACCUUAAUGUUAUAUUUGCAGUUUUAACUUUAGUUUUGUACCGUACACAUAGAAAACCAGUAAACACUAUAUAGUAUAUUAAUUCCGGUCAAGGGUUACAUUCGUGUGUAGCGUAUCACAAUAAGAACUUAAAGUACACGUGACAUCAGUUGACUGAUUGUCUAUUAUAUGUAUUCGUAGAAUAGUACACAUUCUUAAACUGCAUUGUAUUUUACCAUUACUAUAUGUGAUAAUGUGUAAUUUAAGAUACUUGUGUUUUAUAAUAGAACUGUUAUUUAUAAUUGUGAUAUUGUUAUUUCAGAGUUUAUCCUUUUUACUACUGGUAUAAUAAAUCAUCCGAACCCUAAACAGAGUUUAUUAUUACUUGACCCAAGAAUCGACCCUGUUACAAGUAUGCUAAAAAAAAUUAUGCAUUUCCAUAUAAGGUAGUGAUCCCGACCUGUUACACGCCCCAUUCUGACUGGACGUACCUGUGUUAUUUUACUUUGCUCAAAGCUGAUAGUCGUACGAUAACUUAAAAAUGCACAAAUAACAAAUGCGGAACAAUGAGAACUCUUUAAUACAAAAAAAAAAAUUUUCCCUUCAUUUGCUAUUUAAAAACAGUGGUUGAUUUCGGGAUAAUGGAGCUACGUAUAUGAUAAAUGCAUAUUCUUUUUACAAUCAUUAGUCAUAACUUUGUCUAAGGGAGCAACCAUUUAACUUCAAAAGUAGGGAUAUGGUUGUUUUGUCGAAGUGAACAAAAAAAGAAAUCGCGCUAAGCCCUUACAAUUUUAUUAAGUUUUACCAUCGCUAAUAAUCAAAUUAUUUGGUUAAAAUUUAACACUACAAUGCAUUUGGAAAAUGUCGAUUCAGAAUGUUUGUUUUUUUUUUUUUUGUCUUAUUCUUGCACAGAAUAUUUUAUUCUUCUUCAAAUUGGGGAUCAAAAUAUAUUUAUGUACCAUUAUUGAAGCCCCUCGUGAAAGUAUCCAAGUAAAAACAAGUGCUACUUUAGUUCAGCUUUUACAAAUCCAGAACAAUAAGUUGGUCAAUGGAUGUCAAUGUUUACUUUAUUUGGCAUUUUUAAUUAUACUUCACUGUAUUGGCCUUUAUAACUUAACUUGAUUCAAGCGUCACUUAUAAGUCUUUUUAGACGAAACGCGCGUCUAUACUUUUUGACCUACUACGAGUUGGUAAAUUUUUACUGUUGCUCCUAAAAUAUGGGUGCUGGGCGCUUACAACUGCCUGCCUAUGGUUUUAUUUUAUAAAUUUAUUUAACUUUUAAGUAUCAGUAUGUUUUCAUUUCAUUUUGAUUCGUUUCGUUUCGCAUUUAAUUCGUUUUGCAGUUUACAGGUACCCCUCUUUUCGACCCUUUUCUAUUUUUUACAUCUUAAUCAAGAUUUUAAAAAAUCAAACUUCCAAAAUGUGAAAUUAUCAAAAUUGCACAAUAGGUUUAGUAUUUUUAAAGUUUGAUCAAAUUUCUAAACUAUCAAAUAUAAAAACGAUAUUUAGAAUUUUAAUAUUUUAAUUAUUUGGUUAAUUAUUCAAAAUUUGAAAACGUUUACACAAUUUGGAAUUCUUAUAUUUUAAAACUUUAAUCAAAAUUCCAAAAAUUUUAAAUUUGAAAACUUUUUAAAACUUUGAAGUGAUAAGUAUUACACGGACCAUUAAACAAUAAUUUCAAUUUUGUUCAAUCACAUCAAUAAUUUCCAAUUCAAACUACAACAAUUAGCUUCACACUUGUCAUUUUUUUCUCAAUAAAAUAUAUAGUUUUUUUCAAGUUUAUAUCUACACAUGUUUAUUCGGAUAUUCGAUAGUGCUUAUGUAUUAUACAGUGAUGUGUAUCAGGUAAAAUCAAUUGUAUUGGUUAUUUUAAUAUAUAAACUCAUUUUAUUUUUUCACAGGUGAAGUGAUGCUGUUAAAAUACAGGGGGCCCGAAUGGCCUUCAGUAGUCAGCUAGCCCAAUAACAGAUAGCAACACAUAAUUUUACUAGAGAAAACCGAAUGGCCUUCAGUAGUGAGCUAGCCCAAUAACAGAUAGCAACAUAUAAUUUUACUAGAGAAAACAGAAUGGCCUUCAGUAGUGAGCUAGCCCAAUAACAGAUAGCAACAUAUAAUUUUACAACUAGAGAAAC
rnacentral:lncRNA from 1 species